rnacentral:rRNA from 1 species
GACGUAGGGCGCGAGCGUUGUCCGGGUUUAUUGGGCGUAAAGAGCUCGUAGGCGGCUUGUCGCGUCGUCCGUGAAAACUUGGGGCUCAACCCCAAGCUUGCGGUCGAUACGGGCAGGCUAGAGUUCGGUAGGGGAGACUGGAAUUCCUGGUGUAGCGGUGAAAUGCGCAGAUAUCAGGAGGAACACCGGUGGCGAAGGCGGGUCUCUGGGCCGAUACUGACGCUGAGGAGCGAAAGCGUGGGGAGCGAACAGG